rnacentral:tRNA from 1 species
CGGGGGUAGCUCAAUAGGCAGAGCGCUUGGUUUGGGACCAAGAGGUUGCGAGUUCAAAUCUUG